UCAAUUUUUUUUCAGCACGGUGCCACAAGAGUUGGAUUUUAAGUAAAAAGAAAGGUAACAGACCUCUUCAAUUGCCAUAUACAUCUUAUAUUCGAUCUUCUGUUGGGUUUUUGAGUUUUGCAGAGAGAUGUAAAUGGAAGCAGCUGCAGCUACUUUUACUGGAUCUUCUAUUGAGAUCUCUAGACCUGCAAAAUCUGUUGCUAGAUUGGGUUUUUUAGCUACCAAUGGACAAGUGUUUGUGUGUUUUCCUGUUAAGGUACUAUCGAUUAGUCUCAUUUUGAUAAUGGGUUAUUGAGUUUAUGCAUGAAUUUUGUGUUUGGUGAUGAUUUACGUAUAAUCUAUAGCCACCCUUCGUGAUUCUUUACAAAUAUGCUCUCUUUCAAUUAGGGCUUCUCUCUCUUAAUUCAAUUUUCACCGUUUCCAGAUAUAUAUAAGUUGGAUUUUACAAUAGAAAUUGCUUCUCUUAAUUUGUCUAUAAAAGAAAAAUAGACCAAUUCUUUCACUCAAAAUGCAUUUAUUCUGUUCAGUAUGAUUUACAUGGCCAAAGUUUGUCAAAUGUGAUUACUCUGUUCAACAUGAUUUACAUCCGUUUUUACAGCAUGUAUUCAUCACCAGGAAUGAUUUCUCAUGUCUAACAUGAACGUUAAAUCACAUGAGAACCUAUCAAAGUUUCAAUUUAAAGACUAGAUGCAGUUUCAAUCUAAGCUGUUCAUCUUCCUCCAGUGUCACACCACGAGCUAUGGUACCUUUAAUCGGCCUUGCUUCUAAUAUACCAUUUCUGUCCAAGCCUAGGAAUCUCUCAAGAGAAGAACAAUAGAUGCACAAAUCAUCAUUUGAAAAAUUAAGCCACGCAGCAUAUGGUGCUGGAAUUUUCUCUCUGAGGAAUCAUCCUCCAAGCCAUCAUUAUCUCAAAGCUUUGCUUCCUUGCCUUCACCGAAAAGCAAAUUAUAUGGCUUCUAAAUCUCAAGUUCAAGAGAGUGAUAUAUGAGCUUGCCCUAGAGGAUGCCAGUGCGUUAAGGCUUUUCCAUUUGAGGCAUCCAUUAAGGUAGUUGAGCUCGCGAGAAAGAUGAAGAAACUAGCUAACGAUGAUCCAAGAAAGAUUAUUCAUUCCAAUAAAGUAGGAUUAGCUCUCACGAUGGUUUCACUAUUCUACUAUAUAUUUCAAACCACUUUAUGAUAGUUUUGGUGUCAAUACAAUUAUUUGGAUGGUUCUAA